GACGAACGCUGGCGGCGUGCUUAACACAUGCAAGUCGAACGGAAAGGUCUCCUCGGAGAUACUCGAGUGGCGAACGGGUGAGUAACACGUGGGCGAUCUGCCCUGCACUUCGGGAUAAGCCUGGGAAACUGGGUCUAAUACCGGAUAGGACCACGGGAUUCAUGUCCUGUGGUGGAAAGCUUUUGCGGUGUGGGAUGAGCCCGCGGCCUAUCAGCUUGUUGGUGGGGUAACGGCCUACCAAGGCGACGACGGGUAGCCGGCCUGAGAGGGUGUCCGGCCACACUGGGACUGAGAUACGGCCCAGACUCCUACGGGAGGCAGCAGUGGGGAAUAUUGCACAAUGGGCGCAAGCCUGAUGCAGCGACGCCGCGUGGGGGAUGACGGCCUUCGGGUUGUAAACCUCUUUCACCAUCGACGAAGGUUCGGGUUUUCUCGGAUUGACGGUAGGUGGAGAAGAAGCACCGGCCAACUACGUGCCAGCAGCCGCGGUAAUACGUAGGGUGCGAGCGUUGUCCGGAAUUACUGGGCGUAAAGAGCUCGUAGGUGGUUUGUCGCGUUGUUCGUG
rnacentral:rRNA from 1 species